CUCUAAAAAACUUGGAGAACAAAAGACAUCAUGGAAAGCAUCUCAAAGAUUCGCACCCAUCAACUAGGAUUUACUAAGGUGAGAUUCAUCCUAAGAGUGAUGAGGUUGGAGAUGAGAGUUAGGCCUUGCAUUGGUGUUGUGUUCUAAUAGGAUGUGACGUUAGAGUUGUUGCUAGGAUUUCAUGUUUUCCAUUUUGUUGUUUCUUUAUGCUAGAACUAUUUGUUAGAUUUUAUUUUGUAAUCAUUGAGCAUUGUUUUAGGUUUUUUUGUAUUUGUUUGAUUAUGUGGCAUGAGGAGUUUUGAGAACUUUGUUUUAUUCAAAAAUAUUAAUCCAAAAAUUUGUCUUAUCUUUGAUUAA